GACGAACGCUGGCGGCGUGCCUAAUACAUGCAAGUUGAGCGCUGAAGGUUGGUACUUGUACCAACUGGAUGAGCAGCGAACGGGUGAGUAACGCGUGGGGAAUCUGCCUUUGAGCGGGGGACAACAUUUGGAAACGAAUGCUAAUACCGCAUAAAAACUUUAAACACAAGUUUUAAGUUUGAAAGAUGCAAUUGCAUCACUCAAAGAUGAUCCCGCGUUGUAUUAGCUAGUUGGUGAGGUAAAGGCUCACCAAGGCGAUGAUACAUAGCCGACCUGAGAGGGUGAUCGGCCACAUUGGGACUAAGACACGGCCCAAACUCCUACGGGAGGCAGCAGUAGGGAAUCUUCGGCAAUGGACGAAAGUCUGACCGAGCAACGCCGCGUGGGGGAAGAAGGGUUUCGGAUCGUAAAACUCGGUUGGUAGAGAAGAACGUUGGUGAGAGUGGAAAGCUCAUCAAGUGACGGUAACUACCCAGAAAGGGACGGCUAACUACGUG
rnacentral:rRNA from 1 species